rnacentral:rRNA from 1 species
GACGAACGCUGGCGGCGUGCUUAACACAUGCAAGUCGAACGGAAAGGCCCUGCUUUUGUGGGGUGCUCGAGUGGCAAACGGGUGAGUAACACGUGAGUAACCUGCCCUUGACUUUGGGAUAACUUCAGGAAACUGGGGCUAAUACCGGAUAGGAGCUCCUGCUGCAUGGUGGGGGUUGGAAAGUUUCGGCGGUUGGGGAUGGACUCGCGGCUUAUCAUCUUGUUGGUGGGGUAGUGGCUUACCAAGGCUUUGACGGGUAGCCGGCCUGAAAGGGUGACCGGCCACAUUGGGACUGAUAUACCGCCCAUACUCCUACGGGAGGCAGCAGUGGGGAAUAUUGCACAAUGGGCGGAAGCCUGAUGCAGCAACCCCGCGUGCGGGAUGACGGCCUUCCGGUUGUAAACCGCUUUCGCCUGUGACGAAGCGUGAGUGACGGUAAUGGGUAAAGAAGCACCGGCUAACUACGUGCCAUCAGCCGCGGUGAUACGUAGGGUGCCAGCGUUGUCCGGAUUUAUUGGGCGUAAAGGGCUCGUACGAGGUUGAUCGCGUCGAAAGUGUAAUCUUGGGGCUUAACCCUGAGCGUGCUUUCGAUACGGGUUGACUUGAGGAAGGUAGGGGAGAAUGGAAUUCCUGGUGGAGCGGUGGAAUGCGCAGAUAUCAGGAGGAACACCAGUGGCGAAGGCGGUUCUCUGGGCCUUUCCUGACGCUGAGGAGCGAAAGCGUGGGGAGCGAACAGGCUUAGAUACCCUGGUAGUCCACGCUGUAAACGGUGGGUACUAGGUGUGGGGUCCAUUCCACGGGUUCCGUGCCGUAGCUAACGCUUUAAGUACCCCGCCUGGGGAGUACGGCUGCAAGGCUAAAACUCAAAGGAAUUGACGGGGCCCCGCACAAGCGGCGGAGCAUGCGGAUUAAUUCGAUGCAACGCGUAGAACCUUACCUGGGUUUGACAUGGAUCGGGAGUGCUCAGAGAUGGGUGUGCCUCUUUUGGGGUCGGUUCACAGGUGGUGCAUGGCUGUCGUCAGCUCGUGUCGUGAGAUGUUGGGUUAAGUCCCGCAACGAGCGCAACCCUUGUUCACUGUUGCCAGCACGUUAUGGUGGGGACUCAGUGGAGACCGCCGGGGUCAACUCGGAGGAAGGUGGGGAUGACGUCAGGUCAUCAUGCCCCUUAUGUCCAGGGCUUCACGCAUGCUACAAUGGCUGGUACAGAGAGUGGCGAGCCUGUGACGGUGAGCGAAUCUCGGAAAGCCGGUCUCAGUUCGGAUUGGGGUCUGCAACUCGACCUCAUGAAGUCGGAGUCGCUAGUAAUCGCAGACCAGCAACGCUGCGGUGAAUACAUUCCCGGGGCU